AUUGAACGCUGGCGGCAGGCCUAACACAUGCAAGUCGAACGAGUGGCGGACGGGUGAGUAAUGUCUGGAAAACUGCCUGAUGGAGGGGGAUAACUACUGGAAACGGUCGCUAAUACCGCAUACCAUCGGGUGUGCCCAGAUGGGAUUAGCUAGUAGGUGGGGUAAAGGGUCACAUAGGCGACGAUCCCUAGCGGGUCUGCGAGGAUGACCAGCCACACUGGAACGGAGAGACGGUCGAGACUCCUAGGGGAGGCAGCAGUGGGGAAUAUUGCACAAUGGGCGCAAGCCUGAUGCAGCCAUGCCGCGUGUGUGAAGAGGGCCUUCGGGUUGUAAAGCACUUUCAGCGAGGAGGCGUUACUCGCAGAAGAAGCACCGGCUAACUCCGUGCCAGCAGCCGCGGUAAUAC
rnacentral:rRNA from 1 species